UACCCCCAAGAACCACUCUUUUAAACAGAGUUAUCUUAGAAGUGAGUACAGCAGGAGGGUGAGGAUACGCCAAAAGCCGAUACAAUAUUCAUAUCUGGUGGAAAAUACAGAAAAAAUAGGUGCUUCCUCUGCAAAGCAGUAUGUGGUAGUUUACUUAAAAUAUUUUUGUAGUAAUAAUAGAAAGUUGACAGAUUAUAUGACAUCUCUGCAGAGGGAAAGACUUGAGUGCAAGUAGAGAAGGAGAUCUUUGCAGUGCAUAUCAUUUCUGCCUAUAUGAAGAUUUCAACCAUGGUUCUUUUUAAGGAGAAGCUCUGGCUUUCCACAUGCUUUGAAAAGCACUGGCAAAAUCUGCAGAACAAAUAGUUUAGGUUUCUUUAGUGUUUGUGUUAUGACCUUAAAGGGCACAGUUUUUGAGUGUUUUAUUCAGAGUUCAAUGGCUACUUCAUGCUACAGCCAAUUCUAAGACAAUGCUUUCUGGA